UAGGGGUUAGGGUGUAGAGGCCUUGGCUAUACUACAGACUGCUGACCCAGGUCAGGGUGUAGGGGUUAGGGUGUAGGGGUCAGGGUGUAGAGGCCUUGGCUAUACUACAGACUGCUGACCCAGGUCAGGGUUAGGGGUUAGGGGUCAGGGUGUAGGGGUUAGGGUGUAGAGGCCUUGGCUAUACUACAGACUGCUGACCCAGGUCAGGACAUGGUUAGGGUGUAGGGGUUAGGGUGUAGGGGCCUUGGCUAUACUACAGACUGCUGACCCAGGUCAGGGUUAGGGUGUAGGGGUCAGGGUGGAGAGGCCUUGGCUAUACUACAGACUGCUGACCCAGGUCAGGACAUGGUUAGGGUGUAGGGGUUAGG